rnacentral:rRNA from 1 species
CCUACGGGAGGCAGCAGUGAGGAAUAUUGGUCAAUGGGCGAGAGCCUGAACCAGCCAAGUCGCGUGAGGGAGUACUGCCCUAUGGGUUGUAAACCUCUUUUGUCGGGGAGCAAAAGCCGGACGUGUCCGGCUGUGAGAGUACCCGAAGAAAAAGCAUCGGCUAACUCCGUGCCAGCAGCCGCGGUAAUACGGAGGAUGCGAGCGUUAUCCGGAUUUAUUGGGUUUAAUGGGUGCGCAGGCGGAUUUUUAAGUCAGCGGUAAAAUCGUGGGGCUCAACCCCAUCCAGCCGUUGAAACUGGGGAUCUAGAGUGUGCGAGAGGUAUGCGGAAUGCGUGGUGUAGCGGUGAAAUGCAUAGAUAUCACGCAGAACCCCGAUUGCGAAGGCAGCAUACCGGUGCACAACUGACGCUCAGGCACGAAAGCGUGGGUAUCGAACAGGAUUAGAUACCCUGGUAGUC